GACGAACCGAGCGAACGUUGUUCGGAAUAACUGGGCUUAAAGGGCGCGUAGGCGGGCCGCCAAGUUCGAGGUGAAAUCCUCCGGCUCAACCGGAGAACUGCCUCGAAUACUGGAGGCCUCGAGGCGGGUAGGGGCGUGCGGAACUGUGGGUGGAGCGGUGAAAUGCGUUGAUAUCCACAGGAACUCCGGUGGGCGGAAGGCGG
rnacentral:rRNA from 1 species